ACGGGGACCCGCACAAGCGGUGGAUGAUGUGGAUUAAUUCGAUGCAACGCGAAAACCUUACCUACCCUUGACAUGUCCGGAAUCCUGCAGAGAUGCGGGAGUGCCCGAAAGGGAAUCGGAACACAGGUGCUGCAUGGCUGUCGUCAGCUCGUGUCGUGAGAUGUUGGGUUAAGUCCCGCAACGAGCGCAACCCUUAUCAUUAGUUGCUACGCAAGGGCACUCUAAUGAGACUGCCGGUGACAAACCGGAGGAAGUGGGGAUGACGUCAAGUCCUCAUGGCCCUUAUGGGUAGGGCUUCACACGUCAUACAAUGGUCGGUACAGAGGGUUGCCAAGCCGCGAGGUGGAGCCAAUCCCAGAAAGCCGAUCGUAGUCCGGAUUGUUCUCUGCAACUCGAGAGCAUGAAGUCGGAAUCGCUAGUAAUCGCGGAUCAGCAUGUCGCGGUGAAUACGUUCCCGGGUCUU
rnacentral:rRNA from 1 species